UUUUUUGAACGGCCAACGAAUCCUUCAAAUGGGCUACUGGUGAAAUUCACCACAUCAGGAUACACUUGUCUCUGAACUGGGGAAAACCCUCACCUAGGGCAGAAGCCCGUGAACACUCACCCAAAGGCACGACAGUGCGGUGAGGUAAAACCCAUUCAGUUCAAGGAUCGAACUAGCUAUCGCCGCCUCCUCGCCCAGUCUCCCAUCAUCACCAGGUGCCGCUGAAACUAACGGGGAGAAGCAGAAAUUGAACUUGGGUCUAAGGAUAUAUUUUUCCAUACAAUUAUCAGGUUUGGUAUCAACUUUCAAAUAUAUCCCUGAUUAAUUUGUCUAUAAAAAUUUAUGUAAUUUGUGUUAAUCUUUGAAAAAAUCCUUGAAAUUUGUUUUUGGUGCCGUGUUAAUGUAACGUUUAUUCUUGUCUCUUGCAUAGGGUAGUUUUGAAGGUUUUUAAAUAUCAUAUAAUGGCCCAAGAAUAUCAAAGAUACCACGGUACAAUAGAAGCAGCAAAAAGUACAAAUGGAAUCAAAUUUAUAGAUUAGAUAAUAAUCAGGAUAAACCAAUAUUGCUCAGCAGCCAACCAAGUGUCAUGUUUCCUCACUUUUAAAUGAACUUCCUAAACUAUGAUCAUGUAGUAUCUUUGUUCCAACUUAUUAACCUUAAAUUAUGUACUUGUGAGCAUAAUUAAGGUUAAAAAUGUACCUUGAACCUUGUACUGAAGAGUGA
rnacentral:lncRNA from 1 species